AAAAAAAUGACGAACGAGCCCAACCAGCAAAACCGAAGCUAUUGGAAAACUUUCCUGUGUGCCAAAGCGAGAGAGCAUGUCUUCUUUCUCUAGAUUUUGGACGGCACAACGCCGAUCGUGUGGCCUAUGAACGAAAAACGGGAGAAGGAGAAACCGAUAUCCUUCGAGUGACACACACGCAUGCAUCUGCAUGCGUAUUCCGCUCAACCGAGACUACACAUCUCUCUCGAUCUCCCAUGAUUUUUCUGCUAUCGCGCUCAUCCGGGUGUUAGGCAUCCUCAGUCUGUCCAGAACUUUCACUGUGGAAGGAUGUGUUGGAGUGAUGUGUGAUUUCUUGUGCCCCGUACUUUGCUCGUUUACGUUUUGUGCCGUGUUCCUUCUUCUUCAAAUAUGGAAUGAUUUAUCCUUGUAAAUUUCUAAGUUACAGUGCACGCGCAUGUUAAUCGACGGUUGCCAACAUCCAGCAAAACGAUCGACAGAAGGAAAACGGUGUCCGGUUUUAAAAUAUAAAGAUUUCAUUACAGCUCUUUCGUAGAAGAGCGCACUUCAAGGACGCCUAGGAUACGGCUAAACAUGCGCAGCACCAGUCCGUGACGUCAUUUCCAGACAGGCGCCGGCUGAACACGCGCAGCACCAGUCGAGGAUGUCCUAGCGCAGAGGGUAGAGGGAAGAACGAGAGGAAGGGUAACAGAAAGCAACCACAGCAUUUGGAAGGGGUGAAGCAUCCUGCCGUAUACAGAGUGUGAGUGUGCCAAAACGCAUGUGGAAAGAGUAACACCAAUAAAUAGCAUGCGAAAGUGUGCAUAAAGCAAAAAGAAAAAGCGUCACUACUACAACCAGCAAUCCGAAAAUAUAAGGGGAGGGAUAAAUACAAAUGUAUGCGUAAGCAGGACCAGCAAUCCAAGCAUUUGAAUGUGUGCGUCCGUUUGUGUCGUGCUGAAAGUUUUUACUUUAGCUGCUGCUAGUGUAAAAACUUAAGGAAAGCUUAAAGUAAAAAUUUUUUACACGGGGCGCCUUCGGAAAUUG